UCCAUUAGUAAUUUCUUAUAAAAAGAAAUGAAUUGCAUUGAAAAUGAUAUAAAAUUAUGAAUAUCAUUUGAUUACAGAAAGUCUAGAGUAAAAUAGUUUUUCUUGUUGGUUUGACAUUCUCAGAAUUUAUUCCUGGUUCUCCAAAAAGCAGAGAAUGCCAAGACUGAAUACCUGCUGUAAUCUAUCUGGUCCUCAUUCUGCUUAAUAUGCUUAUAGGGUUCAAUCUGUUCCUACUUUAUCCACCAUUUCCAGUUUGUACCUGUAAGUCUACCUUGGAAGAAGCAAGUAAACUGAUUUUUUUUCUUCAUCGUUUUUAUACUAAUCCCAAAAGAUAGGCCUUUUGCAGUCAGUGUGUUUAUAUUGGGUUGUGUUACUUGUUUACUUAAGGAACAUACAUUUUGAUAACAUUUCACUCCAAUAAAUUAACAUUUUUUUGAGUGCCAAGAAUUGCUAAGUAACUGUAACACUGAAAAGUCACUCCCAAGUAAACAUACAUUCUAAAAUAGUAAAUUUGUUAUACAACCAGACUGUACAAGUAACACUUUUCUUUUACUCAUGUAGACCCUUUCAGAAAUUUAUUAGAAUAUGGUCAUGGUCACCUUAGUGGACUUUUUUCCCUCAUUUUGGUCAUGUGAGUUCGGUAUUUUAAAUUUUUCAUAUUUAUACCAAUUUGCUUUGGGAAAGGCUAUAAACCCAAUUCUGGCACAUUGUAGAGGUUUCAGUUAAUGAAGAGGUUACUUUUACCUUAAUGACUUUAAAAUAUCCUAUAUAUAUAUUAUAGGAGAGGGCAUAAAAAAUCAUUAGAUGGGUAGAAAUUUAUUAAAAUCUUUAGAUAUUAUGAAUUAAAAAUUUUUUUUACAGGAAUUCAUUUGUGUUUUUUGCCAAACCAGAUGAGCAGGAAAAUAUGCCUAGGACUGAAUAACCUCCCUUGUUCUUUUUGCCACUGGAUUAUAGCCACUUUAUCCAUGUUUCAAACAUCCAUCCUCCCAGCCUGUGUCCAAGAAGAAGGUAUGUCCUCUUUUUACAGCAACUUGUCUGCCUGUACCCUCGAUCUGGUGUGCUGUGACGACUCGGGAUAGCCUAACGAAUCUCAGCUAGCGAAUCAGAAAGUGGGGGGGGGGAGCGGGACUGUCACGUGACAAAGUCGCUGGGCCCUCCAAGACUUCCGAGCGCUUUUCCCAGAAUGUCUCAUCUCUAUGGUUGAUGACGUUCAAAGUCCUGU